ACACCGGCGGCCCGAGCGGUGAUCGUGAUUAUUGGGUCUAAAGGGUCCGUAGCCGGUUUAGUCAGUCCUCCGGGAAAUCUGAUAGCUCAACUAUUAGGCUUUCGUGGGAUCCUUCCAGCCUUAGAACCGGGAGAGGUAAGAGGUACUACAGGGGAAGGAGUGAAAUCUUGUAAUCCCUGUGGGACCACCUGGGGCGAGGGGGUCUUCCCAGAGGGGGUUCGACGGUGAGGGACGAAAGCUGGGGGGACGAACCGGAUUAGAUGCCCGGGUAGUCCCAGCCGUAAACGAUGCUCGCUAGGUGUCAGGCAUGGCGCGACCGUGUCUGGUGCCGCAGGGAAGCCGUGAAGCGAGCCACCUGGGAAGUACGGCCGCAAGGCUGAAACUCAAAGGAAUUGGCGGGG
rnacentral:rRNA from 1 species